UCUCUCCAGCCUCUCUGGGCUUCUAUUAAUAUUUUUAAUGUAUUCUCCCUUUUUUUUCCCCAUCUCUCCCUCUUUUGUCCUCGGCUGCGUUUUCCAUCCCGUCUCUCUGCUUACUCUGUGCUGCGUGUCAUGGCUUCCUGAUCAUCUCAGGUUUAUACACCAUAUAGACGGCCUUUAUCCUACACUGUAAACCCGGAUUUCAUAUCUAAUCAAACAUUUAAAGUAUAAUGUACUUACACGGCUCAAAUCGAUUAAGUUUUGAUUGCAUUACUAGCAGAUGUAAGUAUGUUAUACUAAUUUGUAGACCUAGUUGAGCCAGUGAAUAAUUUUAAGUGAAAUGGCUUCAAAUUCCCAAGUUUUAGUGAUGCAAUGCAUGAUGGGAACGUGAUCGCUGUCACUUUGCCGCCGAGAAGACGUCACUUUGCCGCCGUGUCCCUGCUUUUUGCCGAGAAGACGUCACUUUCUCGCCGCGCACCGGACGGUCCAGUGUCUACUAAAACUCGCCAGAGACGCGUCUUGGUGACACAGCCCGAUCCACGCUGAGCGAGGGACACGCACUCAGUGGGAAGAAGAGUACCACUGAGCCAACAGACAUCAGGUGCCUUUGUCUUCGGGGACUCCCUGUCAUUUUGGCGGAUGAUUCUUCUGCCUUCUUCAGAACAUGCUCUGAUGUAACUGACAAGGACUCGUACAGUGAAACUUCAGUGGGAAUUCUCUGCCUUGGUCAAGAAAAUACCCAGCUCAACCCAUCCAGAGUAGGGAUCAUCUUGGAAGGGUCUGUGGUAAUUGAUGAACUGUUGAACCUACCACAGGCCUUCUGUGUCCUUUUCGGCCUGAUCUAUGCCCUACACCUGGACUAC